rnacentral:rRNA from 1 species
UACGUAGGUGGCAAGCGUUGUCCGGAUUUACUGGGCGUAAAGAGCGCGCAGGCGGUCGUUCAAGUCGCGUGUGAAAGCCCCCGGCUCAACUGGGGAGGGUCACGCGAUACUGAUCGACUCGAAGGCAGGAGAGGGUAGUGGAAUUCCCGGUGUAGUGGUGAAAUGCGUAGAUAUCGGGAGGAACACCAGUGGCGAAGGCGACUACCUGGCCUGUUCUUGACGCUGAGGCGCGAAAGCUAGGGUAGCGAACGGG